GGAAAGGCUACGUCUAAAUUCCAGAAUCAGACGAGAUUCAUUGCCAGGAAUGGCAGGAUACACGAUAGCCUUGCUUGCUAGUGAUGUUUUCAUUACUGUAUGCUUGUAGACUGUAGCAAGUAGAAUAAUUGCAACACAAUUCAGUGCUAUUAGAUGCAUGUGUAAAUUAAAGUCAACCUGAAGGACAUUUUUUUUUUACAUUUUGAAAUUCGGAAAAAAGAAAUGAAAAUGAAUUCACUUAAGAAACAAAAAGGGAAAGAGAUGCAAACAUGCAACAUCAAAAACAGUUCAACAGUAAAGAAGACUCAAAUGGAGAAGCUAAAUGUGAAAAAAUGUUAUUUGAACAUAGAAACACUGAGGAAAGAUAGACAAAUGACAUGGGAAGAAAGAAUGGAUUUUUUGAUGCCAAAGAUGAACAUUGGAAGUCAGAAGGAUUAUUUUGAAGUUGCCUCAUACAUGUAUUAUUUUGUUGUUUCUAGUAAUUGAAGAUGAAGACAAAGAAAAUGAAAAAAAGACAAUGUUACAACGGGAAGAAAUGCAAAGAAAGACAGAAAUUACUCCUCCUAAGAAGACAUCAAAGAAGAAUAGCUCUGUACCUCACCCAGACAGACCUUGUGGAGAAAACCCCUGAUGUCUCCCUCAUUCCAAAGUCAUCAGGAGCAAAACAGAAGAAAGAUCACAUGUUGAGUUCACCAUUCCCAAUAACAGGUUCAAGACCAGGACAACUGUUAAGACAACUUACAAGCACCCCAAACUGUUCUAGAAAGGAGCAGCUUAAGAUGGACCUGUCAGCCAUUCAGCUCCCUGUACAGGAGGAUGAGCUCGAGAUUCAUUCCUCUACUCUGGUCAACUCCCUGGAGAUUGUUCCCCUGGAUGACAGUAUAGAGAUGCCCCCUCCCAUAGAUACCCAGCAGAUUCUACAGUUUAAUCAGAAAACUAGAGAAAAGAAGCAAAGUUUUGUAAAGACAUCUAAAGAAGGUGUGAAAAGAAAAGUUGCAAAUGUUCUUACAAAACAUGGGGAACUCUUUCAGUUCAAGUCCAAGGUCUCAGAAAUUUUACACAAAGCUAAGGAUAUUGGCAUUGUGAAGGAGAAAGAUGUUGAUGUAGAUGUAGUUAGUAGAGAUGAGGAUUUACAGACUCCAGAUGAACCACAAUGUACAGAGCAAAGCAGUGAAAACAGGAAACGUAAAAUAAUGGCCAAAGUACCAGUUUUAGAGAGAAACAUGAAUGAUAAUUUGGAGAAAAGAGCAAUGGAUAUCUCUGAAAUUAAAUCAAUUAAUGAAUCAUCCCACAAUUCAAGUUCAAGUAAGCAGAGAAGAUUAUCAUUCAAGGAUUUAAGUAUUCAUAAAGAAUGUGAGCUACAGUCAGAAAAUAAAGAUGAAGUGGAUGAUCUACCAUCAGAAAAUGAAGUUUUGGAUAAUCUGCAGUCAAAAAAUAAAGAUGUGGAUGGUAAAACUACAAAUCAAAUGAAAAGCAAGGUAUUAGUUGGAAAAGAUGACUAUAGUCAGAGACUAAAAAGAAACCAGAGUUUAAGUUCUUCUCAUAAAGUAAAGCAAACUGAGGAAAGUGAGAGCAUGAAAAGAAGCAGAGGAUUGAAUAAAUCUGAUGGACAGUUCAGACAUUCUUCAACCUCCAAAGAAAUCAGCUCAUCACAUGCCCGGGCACCUCUGAGACAUUGGGAUAGUGUGAAGAAGUCUAUUGCAGAAGAUGACCUUUGUUCAUGGAAACACAUCUUAAAAAAGAGAGCAGUAGUCAAGGAACAUGUUUACCCUAAAUUGAUCAUGGAUGCUUCCAAUGCACCAGUUGAUGACAUCCUGAAGAAUUUUCUAAGAGUGACAUCCCCAUGUGCCAACCUUCAAUUCAGAGUUUUUAAGCAGUCCACUUCAACCACUACUUAACAUUGAAUUGUUCCAUUAUUUUGAUUGUUGUACAGUUUUGGAAAGGUGAACGCCUUUCUCCAGUGUGUUAUAUGUGAACAUAAUUUCUUUUUUUUUAAAUGGUGUUUAUCAUCUGCCUUUUCUUGUUGAGUGUUUAUAUAAAACACUCCUUCAUCCAGUGCUACAAUAUCAUGUUUUUUGUUUGUAUACAGCAUAUUUAUUUCUACAUGGAUCACCCUUCAGAAACAUUUUCUUGUUGCUUAAAUGUGAAACUGCCAUUGUGAUAUCUAAACUACCAUUGUGAUAUCUAAACUGUUUGAUCUGUGAUUUAUUUAUAUAUAAUCGAUAUUGUAUUUCUUGAUACAUAUAUUGAUAAUGUUAUAUACUUCAUCUGUGAUGUUUUGUGAUCUAUAUAGCUUUGGUUUACAUGUAAAUUGUUUUGUUUGAAUAAAUGUAUCUUAUUAAUU
rnacentral:misc_RNA from 1 species